rnacentral:lncRNA from 1 species
GCGGCGGCCGCCUGGGAGGGCGCGAGGCGGCGGAAUGCCGGGAGGCAGUGCGGCAGGAGUAAGGCGGCAGUCGCGAGCGCCUUGGCGAUCCAGAGCUCAGCGUCGUGCAGGGGCAGGUCCUGCGGCGGCGGGCGGUCAAUGGGGUUGUAGGAGUGGAGGAGGCGGAGGAGGGGGUGGCGAGGGGGGAUCCGGAGCUGGAGAAGGCUGUGUAGGAGGAGGUGGGGAGGCAUCGGAGAAGGCGGCGGCGGAGGGUAGCUUGAGAGGAGGAGACGGCGCGGCGGCGGUCAUGGAAUCACGGCGAUGGGAAGAGGCGGCGUAGGCCGCAUGGUGGUGCGUGUGGGAGGGAGAAGAGGGUUUGGCCCGUUUGGGGCUUUUCUGUAA